CAGUCGCCGCGGUAAUACGUAGGUCCUGAGCGUUGUCCGGAUUUAUUGGGCGUAAAGCGAGCGCAGGCGGUUAGAUAAGUCUGAAGUUAAAGGCUGUGGCUUAACCAUAGUACGCUUUGGAAACUGUUUAACUUGAGUGCAAGAGGGGAGAGUGGAAUUCCAUGUGUAGCGGUGAAAUGCGUAGAUAUAUGGAGGAACACCGGUGGCGAAAGCGGCUCUCUGGCUUGUAACUGACGCUGAGGCUCGAGAGCGUGGGGCGCAAACAGGAUUAGAUACCCGAGUAGUCCCUGUCUCUUAUACA
rnacentral:rRNA from 1 species